ACGAACGCUGGCGGCGUGCUUCACACAUGCAAGUCGCACGGAAAGGCCCCGCUUUUGUGGGGUGCUCGAGUGGCGAACGGGUGAGUAACACGUGAGUAACCUGCCCUUGACUUUGGGAUAACUUCAGGAAACUGGGGCUAAUACCGGAUAGGAGCUCCUGCUGCAUGGUGGGGGUUGGAAAGUUUCGGCGGUUGGGGAUGGACUCGCGGCUUAUCAGCUUGUUGGUGGGGUAGUGGCUUACCAAGGCUUUGACGGGUAGCCGGCCUGAGAGGGUGACCGGCCACAUUGGGACUGAGAUACGGCCCAGACUCCUACGGGAGGCAGCAGUGGGGAAUAUUGCACAAUGGGCGGAAGCCUGAUGCAGCAACGCCGCGUGCGGGAUGACGGCCUUCGGGUUGUAAACCGCUUUCGCCUGUGACGAAGCGUGAGUGACGGUAAUGGGUAAAGAAGCACCGGCUAACUACGUG
rnacentral:rRNA from 1 species